AACUUUCAACAACGGAUCUCUUGGCUCUCGCAUCGAUGAAGAACGCAGCGAAAUGCGAUAAGUAAUGUGAAUUGCAGAAUUCAGUGAAUCAUCGAAUCUUUGAACGCAAAUUGCGCCCUUUGGUAUUCCGAAGAGCAUGCCUGUUUGAGUGUCAU
rnacentral:rRNA from 1 species